rnacentral:rRNA from 1 species
GUGUCAGCCGCCGCGGUAAUACGGAGGGUGCAAGCGUUAUCCGGAUUCACUGGGUUUAAAGGGUGCGUAGGCGGGUAGGUAAGUCAGUGGUGAAAUCCUGGAGCUCAACUCCGGAACUGCCAUUGAUACUAUUUAUCUUGAAUAUUGUAGAGGUAAGCGGAAUAUGUCAUGUAGCGGUGAAAUGCUUAGAUAUGACAUAGAACACCCAUUGCGAAGGCAGCUUACUACGCAUAUAUUGACGCUGAGGCACGAAAGCGUGGGGAGCAAACAGGAUUAGAUACCCUCGUAGUCC